rfam:Otolemur garnettii contig017258, whole genome shotgun sequence.
GUGCUCACUUCAGCAGCACCUAUACUAAAAUUAGGACGAUACAGAGAAGAUUAGCCUAGCCCCUGCACAAGAAUGACACGCACAUUCUUGAAAAAGUUUGCCACACUC